rnacentral:rRNA from 1 species
UACACACCGCCCGUCACAUCACGAAAGUGGGUUGUACUAGAAGUCCCCAGGCUAACCGCAAGGAGGCAGGGGCCCAAGGUAUGACUCAUGAUUGGGGUG